rnacentral:rRNA from 1 species
AAGUUGGACACCAAGCCUAUGUAAAGCUCCUUCGACGAGUCGAGUAGUUUGGGAAUGCUGCUCAAAAUGGGAGGUAAAUUUCUUCUAAAGCUAAAUACCGGCCAGAGACCGAUAGCGCACAAGUAGAGUGAUCGAAAGAUGAAAAGCACUUUGAAAAGAGGGUUAAACAGUACGUGAAAUUGUUGAAAGGGAAGCGCUCAUGACCAGACUUGUGCCCUGCGAAUCAUCCAGCCUUCUGGCUGGUGCACUUCGCUUGGUUCAGGCCAGCAUCGGUUUUCUGAGGGGGAUAAAAGCUUCAGGAACGUAGCUCCUCCGGGAGCAUUAUAGCCUGUUGCAUAAUACCCCUCGGGGGACCGAGGUUCGCGGAUGCUG